rnacentral:rRNA from 1 species
CUCCUAAGGCUAAAUACUCUCUAGUGACCGAUAGUGAACCAGUACCGUGAGGGAAAGGUGAAAAGCACCCCGGAAGGGGAGUGAAAUAGAACCUGAAACCGUGUGCUUACAAGUAGUCAGAGCCCGUUAAUGGGUGAUGGCGUGCCUUUUGUAGAAUGAACCGGCGAGUUACGAUUUGAUGCAAGGUUAAGCAGUAAAUGUGGAGCCGUAGCGAAAGCGAGUCUGAAUAGGGCGUUUAGUAUUUGGUCGUAGACCCGAAACCAGGUGAUCUACCCUUGGUCAGGUUGAAGUUCAGGUAACACUGAAUGGAGGACCGAACCGACUUACGUUGAAAAGUGAGCGGAUGAACUGAGGGUAGCGGAGAAAUUCCAAUCGAACCUGGAGAUAGCUGGUUCUCUCCGAAAUAGCUUUAGGGCUAGCCUCAAGUGAUGAUUAUUGGAGGUAG